CCUCUGGUGGGCCAGUUGUCACGCCCGUGGCAUGGCUGGUUGGCUACGUAUGGGAGGGAUAACCGCUGAAAGCAUCUAAGCGGGAAGCCUGUUUCGAGAUGAGGUUUCGUUUGAGGUUCCCUGUAGAUUACGGGGUUGAUAGGCCGGAUCUGGAAGCACUGUGAGGUGUGGAGGUGACCGGUACUAAUUGACCGAGGAUAACAC
rnacentral:rRNA from 1 species